AGUACUGAAAAAAAACCCUAACCCUUUUUUUAUUACGAGUUAAUUGCGAAUUUUACAAUGCUUUUGUGAGCUGUUUGUGUUCAUAAUACUUAAAUGUGUGUUGCGAACUUGAGAUAUUUGAAUUUAAGUUGCUAGAUAUAAUCUCCUUGGAGAAUGUAGAACAUAAUCUCAAAUGAUUUGUAGUGGUUACUAAAAAUAGCUGUCUCAAAUUACUUAGCAAGUAGAAUGGAACUGGUAUUGAGGAUUCAUAAGGAUAAAUUUAACUAGUUUAUAGGAUUGAGGAAUUAUUUUUUUGUUUUUUUUUUGGAUUAAGGCAGAAGGUUAGUAGGUAGUUGAGUUCAUGGCUUUUUCGGUUUCGUUAUUUUCAUUUACAUACUGCUUUGAAUUGCUUGUCCUUACUUGACCUUUUUUUCAUGCUUUCUCUUGAGCCGAGGGUCUUUCAGAAACAACCUCUCUGUCUCCAGGAGGUAGGGGUAAGGUCUGUGUAUACUGUACUCCCCAGACCUCGCGUUGUGGGAUUUCACUGGGUAUGUUGUUGUUGUUAGUGGGUAGUUGAGUGUUGUCCCGCUCUCUUGCGGAUAGGCUUGGUGGGUAGUUAGUAUUAGCAUUAUUCUCGUAGUUUCUUGUCACUGUUACUACCUGUUGUUUCUUGUGCGUCGGUUAUUGCGUUAUUUUGCUCUCAAUGCUAUGUUACACUCUCCCUAUUACUUGCUAUGCCUUAUUUACUUAUGUAUUUUCUUUUUUCAAACUGCUUUGUUUCACAUUACUUUGAGCCGAGGGUCUUUAGGAAGCAACCUCUCUAUCUCCCGGAGGUAGGGGUAAGGUCUGCGUACAUCUACCUUCCCCAGACCCCACAUGUGGGAAAUACUGGGUUUGUUGUUGUUGGUGUCCAGACACACCAACUUGCCCGCACCUCGACUAUUCUACUAGGUACUUGUUACUUCCCAUCAGCUCAGAGUACCAGAUAAAUUUGCCUACCAAACGCUUAGCUAGAUGAGAGGAAAUUACCUAGUGGUUUUUCGCUCUCGCUAGGAUUUGAACUUGAGAUCUCAGUUCUCCUCCAAUUUCAUUGAUCACUAGGCCACACCGUCAGAUGACGAAGAGUUAUUGUUGUUGUUCUCUUAAAUACAACAACAACUAGGCCUCAGUCCCAAUCAAGUUGGGACUUUUGAUAGAACCUUUAUCAUCAGUUUGGGACUGUUGAGCAACUAGGGUGUAAGGUCUAGUUAAUGGGUUCGAUUUCAGGAAUUUCAUGAAUGCUUAAAUAUGUUCGCUGCCUAUUCAAUGGUCUUAUGAGACCUUGAGUUUUCAUCAAUGUAGGUAGUCAUCACCCAUUUACUCUCUGGAAGCUGUGAUGUUGUUGUUGAUUGUUUGUCAUGUUUGAUUUUACUUUGAUUUUGUUGGAGUCACGCUUGAAGUCCUCAAUCAAUUUUGCCUUUCAAAAUGUAUCAUUACGCCUACUACAUACUCGUGUCUUUUUAUGUGUAGAUUGUAGAUGGUUAGUGCUUUUUAUAAUCUUGGCAAAAUACAUAGAAAGCCUCUUGAACUUGCCAAUUUUUUCUGUUAGACACCUCAACUAAGGGUGUGACCUCUUGAACACUUGAGUAGGUAUAAAAUGCGCCUACUGAACACAACACGUUGACAUCGCACAACGCGUGAUCCUUACUUGAAUUUAAGCACACGAACUGACUAAUUCUCCUGACAUGACUGCCGACAUCAUCAUCUCUCUCAUGCCCCCUUCUUCCCCUCUCAAGUCCACCAUUUUUGCCUAUGCUCAUACACUGCUUCUUGGUGGCUGCCAUAGUUAUGCAGUUAUUAUGGGUUGUAUCUGUGUAAUCAAUGGUGAGGGCUUGUAUAAAUGUUUGGUAGAGAUGGUGAUUCUGAGAGUUAGCUAUUAUAUCUAUUUUAGUUGGCCUAAAAAGUCCAGCUAGGAUAGUUUUUUGGUGGAUUACUUGGUCUCAAUUGCCACAUGUCAUCCUCUCACUUGGUCAAUUGCGAUGUCACCUGCGUCUGGAUUUGACACUCUUGGUGAUGGACUUAAAAAUCUGCUAGCUGUAAUAAUGUCAUCCUCGCAUAUACCUGCAACCACAGAUUCGCUAGCUCAGGCUUCUGAGGCUAAUACCCCAUCUGAGGCUAUCUCCAUUCUCUACCGCAUGCUUGAGAACCCUUCAUCAUCUUCCGAGGCUCUAAGGAUCAAAGAGCAGGCAAUCUUCAAUCUCUGUGACCUCCUAAGUCGAGAGAAUAGGGCUGAGGAUCUCAAAAACCUUCUCAUCCAGUUGCGUCCCUUCUUCUCUUUAAUACCCAAGGCAAAAACAGCCAAAAUUGUUAAUAAAGGAAUCAUUGAUGCAGUGGCAAAAAUACCGGGUACAUCUGACCUUCGGAUUACACUUUGCAAGGAGAUAGUGCAAUGGACCCAUUCGGAGAAACGAACUUUCCUUCGUCAGAAAAUUGAGGCGAAACUUGCUGCUCUUCUGAUGGAAAACAAGGAGUAUUCUGAAGCAUUGACACUCCUUUCAGGACUGAUCAAGGAGGUGAGAAGACUGGAUGACAAGCUGCUUCUUAUGGAGAUUGACUUGCUGGAGAGCAAGCUCCAUUUUUCUUUGAGGAAUCUUCCCAAGGCCAAGGCUGCGCUUACAGCUGCUCGAACUGCAGCCAAUGCUAUUUAUGUCCAUCCAGAUCAGCAAGGUGAAAUUGAUUUGCAGAGUGGAAUACUUCAUGCAGAAGAAAAAGAUUAUAAAACUGCUUACAGCUAUUUCUAUGAGGCGUUUGAGGCAUUUAAUGCCCUUGCUCGCGAUCCCAAGAACACUUCAUCAAAAAAAGAUCCCAAUGCCAAGGCCAAAUACAGCCUUAAGUAUAUGUUGCUAUGCAAAAUCAUGGUCAGCCAGGCUGAUGAUGUUGCAGGAAUAAUAUCUUCGCGUGGAUUGGAAUAUCUGGGGCCGGAACUUGAUGCUAUGAAAGCUGUUGCUGAUGCUCACUCCAAGCGAUCUUUGAAGCUCUUUGAGAUUGCUCUUCGCAACUUUAAGGCUCAGCUUGAUGAAGAUCCUAUCGUCCAUAGGCACCUGUCUUCGCUCUAUGACACCUUAAUGGAGCAGAAUCUUUGCAGGUUGAUCAAGCCUUUCUCAAGGGUCGAGAUUGCAAAUAUUGCUAAGUUGAUUGAGUUGCCUGCUGACCAUGUUGAGAAGAAGUUAUCUCAAAUGAUAUUAGAUAAGAAGUUCGCUGGGACGCUGGACCAGGGUGCCGGAUGCCUUGUAAUUUUUGAAGACCCUAAGCAAGACGAGAUUUACCCGGCUACACUGGAAACUAUUUCAAAUAUGGGGAAGGUUGUUGACAGUCUGUUUACAAGAUCUUCAAAGAUAAUGGCUUGAGUUUUAAGACUUGUAUUUCUUGAAGGCAAUAUCUGUUUUAAGCUUCAGCUCCUUCUCUAAUGUUUUGUGCUUAUGGCAUUUUUAAUUUUGAUUACUUAGAGCCUAUCUACUACUAUACUAUAAGUGGGGAUAAGCAGGCAGCUCAGGGUCAACAUGCCUGCCUGGCAUGAGGGUAAUUCGGUCAUUCAACAAUCUACACCGACUCAUUUCAGGAUGAACUCACGGUCAUCACUUCGCUUCUCUACGAGUCUAUCAAUUUGCUCUACGGUUCUGAAAGCUCCUCUAUUCGCCGGUACGCUUCUUGUCUUCGCUCUUAUUCCUUGCUCUUGGUGGAUUUUCGUCGAUUGUUGCUUUCGGGUUGGUCUUUGGGAAUCAUCGUUCUUAUCGCUUUAUCGAAAUUCGCAGUUUCAUUCUUCUUCUUCUUCAUGGGUGAGCUUUAUGUUGUUACUGCUAUGUUAUUAGAAUGUGAUUUCUAUUUUUGUUUCUAUUCUGUCGAGUCGCUAUGAAAUUGCUUAUUCAGCACAGGGAUGGAAGAAAUUUCGGGGAAACCUUGUUUAAUCUACUUGGAAGUACUGAAAUUUCACUACAUUUUCCUCCUGGACCAUCUUUUUAUUUUUUUCCUCGUCGUGAAUUUGAUGUUGUUGCCGACAAGCUUGAAAAAGUACUCGCCGGGUGAGCUUUACAGCGAAUUGGUUAAGCUUCCCAUUGUAUUCACUGUUGUUUUCCUACUAUUCUGCUUCAUUUUGUUUGGUUGUUGGUGUUUGCUUCAGUUCAUGAGGAUUUUUGGGCUUCUUUUGGAUUUCCGAAGUUGGCUGAAUAAAAUUUUCGACUCCUUUGCAUCUUCUAAGUCGACUAAAACAUGAACUAGAGUUUGACGUAUAUCGCCAAUUGGAAAAGGAGGAAUCAAAUAUAAUUUCCAACCCCUUGGAAAAUAAAAUUUCCUAUAAAUCUUAUUGUGAAAGAGCUUAUUUGUUUCGACAGAAAGACACAGAGAGAGAGAGAAGGGGAAAGAAUGAAUAGGCCAUCAUGAAUAAGCCAUCACUGUUAGAAUUCUUAGAAGUGCAGACUUCUCUUUUUGGCUUGUGUUUCUCCCAGUGCUUCCUCUCCAACAAAGAAGAAACAGAACAAGACCUUAAAACAAUCUAUAUUUGUUUUUCUCAGCAGGAAAAGAAAAAAAAUAGUUUUGCUACAUGGAAAACUGGUGACAUAACAAAAUGCAACUUUUCAUUUUUAUUUUGCCCAAAGUGUGUUGUCACAGAGUUAUACGUAAUCAAUCGUGAGACAGUUAUACUCCUUCUGUUCCUGUUACAUAUUUAAUUAGCUCCUUAAUCUUAGCAUUGGUAUUAGAUUUUGAAAUAUGUCGUUUCCUUAUACUGCUUGUGUUAUUUGUAAAAACAUUGCAGCUAAAAUAUGGGAUUUCAAAAUGGGUAAUGUUAACCAUUUCAUUGUUCACAGAAACCCAUCGAUGACAUACUAGCUGCCUUGCUUGAAGAAUAACUGAAAGAACUUCUUGCACAAUUCAUGCCUUUCUGUUUUUAUGACUAUAAAUUAUUUCUUUACUAAGUUUGUCUAAAUAUUAUCUAAUUCUCCUGCUUGCGUCGAGCAUGUUUACGUUUCAAAAUGUGCUAGAAAGCAAAUGAAUAAUGCACCAUCUCAAGCGAAUGUGUAGCACAACCUUGCAUUUGUAGCACCAACUGCUCCACCGAGGACACAUAAAAGGUUAGAAAUAAAAAUGAGGAAAUUUACUCAGAAUAUCUUUCCUGAGCUGACCAAAAUCAUUCUUCUUUGAAAUAUUUCUCCGCUUUCUGUCACUCUUUUGUUAGUAGAUGGUUUAUGUUGGAAUGAUUUGAUAUUUCUUGUAAUUAUUCCUACUUUGAUUUGGUAUGACAACAAGGAAGAAUUAGCUGCAAAUUGUUAUAUUUUAUUAUGUGAGAAAAUUUUGCGUUUUUAACAAUAAAAUUGAGGAUUAAUAGAAAAUUCAAUUUUUAACACCUUCCUUACAAUAUAUGAGACACAAAAUUGGAAUUGAAAUUAUCGCAUGCUGGUUUGUUACGUGUACUCGCCUCUUUUGAGAUUUGCAACUCUUCCGGUGAUUUUGUGCUACAAGUUUAUGACUUUUGAAGUGACUUCUCUAUUUUCUUGAACAACCACUUAGGAGGAGUCAGUAAACCUGUGUAUAUUAGGGUGACCCGGACCACUAUAACCAGCUUCUUUUGCUUAUAUGUUGUAAUGAACGCGCCCUAAAAGUGGUACAUUUUCCUCAGAUAUUGCACCUAGGCCUCCCGCAAUUGAGUUUCCUGGUUGUGAUUUGCCUUUUUUUGACAACUUUGAAAGCUUGGUCAGGAUCAGUUUCUUCUCUACACAUUAUUCACCGCAGUGUUGUCAAAGGCGCGCUUAAGCCCUGAAGCGAGGCUCAAAACAUGCUGAGAGAUUCGCCUCGCUUUAUUUGCGCUUCAGUGUUAUCAUCAAGGCUCUAAGACAACUUUUCCUUGCCCUUGAGCCUUUCUUGAAGACGUGAUACUAGAUAAUUGAUAUUUCACUUUAUCGUAAUGUUUUUACAAUUUCUUUGUCCAUAUAUUUGUUAUUCAUGCUUAUUACUAUUAGUCUUGGACUAAACGUAUAUAUAUUUGUAUUUUUGCACCAUUGUGCCUUUUUUCAUUAAAGCCCACGCUUUAUUUGCGUUUUGCGCUUAAAGCCUCAGCCUCCCUGUCUUCCGAGAUAGGGGUAUGGUCUGCGUACACUUUACCCUCCCCAGACCUCAUAUUGUGGGAUUUCACUGGGUAUGUUGUUGUUGUUGUUGUUGUUGCUUAAAGCCCCAGGCUGACCUUAGAGCUUUUUUGCGCUUUUCGCUUUUGAUAACACUGAUUCACCGUGGAUCUCUUAGUUUCAUGUGUAAGUUCUAAAUAGCCGUAUAAACUUUCAGUCUGUUCUUUUAAAUAUGAAUACAAGCAGUGAGAUCUAUUCCUUUAAAUAAGGAUACAUGCAGUGAAAAGACUAUAUACGUAAAUGUCUUAUUUGCCUCCAGACUUUAGGAAUAACCACUGUCUUAUAUCCAAAUUCGGCGUGUAGUUGUCGAAUGUUCUCAGAGUGAACUAUUUGGCUGCCUUAAGAUAAAUGGCAACUCUUAACAUAUCUUGUAGUUGCUCCUUUAUUAAUGUGGAAUGACUGGAUUUGUAUUCAACCUGUAUUAAAAAAUUUGCUGACAAGAUAUUAUAAGUUAUUAUCUAAAAAAUUCUUUGUGCAUGAGUUUUUUUUUAAA